rnacentral:rRNA from 1 species
GCGAGUUUGAUCCUGGCUCAGGACGAACGCUGGCGGCGCGCUUAACGCAUGCAAGUCGAGCGAGAACCCACCUUCGGGUGGGGGAAAGCGGCGAACGGGUGAGUAACACGUGAGUAAUCAACCCUCGGCACCGGGAUAGCCCGGGGAAACUCGGAUUAAUACCGGAUGGCCCAGCAGCUCUUCGGGGCGGCUGGAAAAGGUAGCUUCGGCCUCCGACCAAGGACGGGCCCGCGGCGGAUUAGCUUGUUGGUGAGGUAACGGCUCACCAAGGCGACGAUCCGUAGCUGGUCUGAGAGGACGAUCAGCCACACUGGGACUGAGACACGGCCCAGACUCCUACGGGAGGCAGCAGUGGGGAAUCUUGCGCAAUGGGCGAAAGCCUGACGCAGCGACGCCGCGUGGGGGAAGAAGGCUUUCGGGUUGUAAACCCCUUUCAGGAAGGACGAAGCCACUCGGGUUAAUAGCCCAGAGGGUGACGGUACUUCCAGAAGAAGCCCCGGCUAACUACGUGCCAGCAGCCGCGGUAAUAAGUUU